GGAACAUGAAACAAAUCGGCAAAGCACGGAAAGCGGAUUUUUCUUCCCAUUCUACUUAGCUGCGCUUCGUUCCUGCCCCUCCUCGCUCUAGAUGGCCCGACCAGCCACACUCUGCAGGGUCUCACUAAGUUGCCCAGAUGGCCUUGAACUUGUGAACCUCCUGCCUCAGCCUCCUGAGUUAACUGGCAUUACAGGCCUGUGUCCACCACCCUGGUUUUGGCCACCUUAACUUCUGGACAGUUAUGGCGGUCUCCCAGCCCACUGGCUAACGAAGCAGAAAGCCUUCCCUCACCGCAGGCACUAGCCCUCUCUACCCAGGAAACAGCUAGGACCAAGGCAGACUACCGCCUGGUUCCUCUGCAGUACGGGAGCUUGAACCCAGGGCCUCCCACAGGCCAGGAGAGCGCUGAGCUACAUCCCAGCACCUUUGUUUUGAGAUAGGACCUUGCUAAGUGGCUGGGUCUGGCUUCAAACUUGUCAUCCUCCUGCCUCAGCCUCCUGAGUAGCUGGGAUUACAGGUGUGCGCCACCAUGCCCGACUCCCCAUUCUGUUUUAAUUAGUUUCUCCCUAACCAAAAAAAUAAAAAAUGAAAUAAAAUAAAUUUAAAAUAACCUUUGGGCUGGGGAUGUGGCUCAAGUGGUAGCGCUCUCGCCUGGCAUGCGUGCGGCCCAGGUUCGAUCCUCAGCACCACAUACAAACAAAGAUGUUGUGUCUGUCGAAAACUAAAAAAUAAAUAUUAAAAUUCUCUCUCUCUCUAAAAAUAAAUAAAUAAAUAAAUAAAAUAAAAUAACCUGAAAAUCACUUAAGAAUUAUGAAAUAUAUUAUGUCAGAUUCCUACACACACUUAAUCAUUUCCAUGGGGGAAACAAUUAGGAAUGAUAUUGGGUAAAAAAGGUAGUAAUACAUUUGUGUUAUAGCCUGGUCUGAACUCUGUAAAAAAGUGCU